rnacentral:rRNA from 1 species
UACGUAGGGGGCAAGCGUUGUCCGGAUUUAUUGGGCGUAAAGAGCGUGUAGGCGGCCAAACAGGUCAGCUGUGAAAACUCGAGGCUCAACCUCGAGACGUCGGUUGAAACCGUUUGGCUAGAGUCCGGAAGAGGAGAGUGGAAUUCCUGGUGUAGCGGUGAAAUGCGCAGAUAUCAGGAAGAACACCAAUGGCGAAAGCAGCUCUCUGGGACGGUACUGACGCUGAGACGCGAAAGCGUGGGGAGCGAACAGG